UUCCAUUCCCCUUAGCUCCUGCCACUUCUGCAUUGACCUCUCUGUGUUCCUUGUACCAACUAGACUUUCUUGCUGUUUCUUCUUCUUCCUCUG